rnacentral:rRNA from 1 species
GAGUUUGAUCCUGGCUCAGAACGAACGCUGGCGGCAGGCUUAACACAUGCAAGUCGAACGAGAAGCUAGAGCUUGCUCUAGUGGAAAGUAGCAGACGGGUGAGUAACGCGUGGGAAUCUACCUAGUGGUACGGGAUAACGUUUGGAAACGAACGCUAAUACCGUAUACGCUCUUCGGGGGAAAGAUUUAUCGCCAUUAGAUGAGCCCGCGUUAGAUUAGCUUGUUGGUGAGGUAAAAGCUCACCAAGGCUCCGAUCUAUAGCUGGUCUGAGAGGAUGAUCAGCCACACUGGGACUGAGACACGGCCCAGACUCCUACGGGAGGCAGCAGUGGGGAAUAUUGCACAAUGGGGGAAACCCUGAUGCAGCAACGCCGCGUGGAGGAUGACACAUUUCGGUGCGUAAACUCCUUUUAUAUGGGAAGAUAAUGACGGUACCAUAUGAAUAAGCACCGGCUAACUCCGUGCCAGCAGCCGCGGUAAUACGGUGGGUGCAAGCGUUACUCGGAAUCACUGGGCGUAAAGCGCGCGCAGGCGGCUAUUUAAGUUGGAUGUGAAAGCCUACGGCUCAACCGUAGAACUGCAUCCAAAACUAUUUAGCUAGAGUGUGGGAGAGGAAGAUGGAAUUAGUUGUGUAGGGGUAAAAUCCGUAGAGAUAACUAGGAAUACCAAAAGCGAAGGCAAUCUUCUGGAACACUACUGACGCUGAGGCGCGAAAGCGUGGGGAGCAAACAGGAUUAGAUACCCUGGUAGUCCACGCAGUAAACGAUGAAUGUUAGUCGUCGGGGGCCUAGUGUCUUCGGUGAUGCAGCUAACGCAUUAAACAUUCCGCCUGGGGAGUACGGUCGCAAGAUUAAAACUCAAAGGAAUAGACGGGGACCCGCACAAGUGGUGGAGCAUGUGGUUUAAUUCGAAGAUACGCGAAGAACCUUACCUAGCCUUGACAUAUAUUAGAACUCCGCAGAGAUGCAGAGGUGCCUUCGGGAGCUUUUAUACAGGUGCUGCACGGCUGUCGUCAGCUCGUGUCGUGAGAUGUUGGGUUAAGUCCCGCAACGAGCGCAACCCUCGUCACUAGUUACUAACGGUUCGGCCGAGGACUCUAGUGAGACUGCCUUCGCAAGGAGGAGGAAGGUGAGGACGACGUCAAGUCAUCAUGGCCCUUACGGCUAGGGCAACACACGUGCUACAAUGGCCAGGACAGUGAGACGCGAUACCGCGAGGUGGAGCAAAUCUAUAAACCUGGUCUCAGUUCGGAUUGUAGUCUGCAACUCGACUACAUGAAGCUGGAAUCACUAGUAAUCGUAGAUCAGCUAUGCUACGGUGAAUACGUUCCCGGGUCUUGUACUCACCGCCCGUCACACCAUGGGAGUUGAUUUCACCCGAAGCGGGGAAGCUAAACUGGCUACCCUCCACGGUGGAAUUAGCGACUGGGGUGAAGUCGUAACAAGGUAACC